rnacentral:rRNA from 1 species
UGGGGAAUAUUGCACAAUGGGGGAAACCCUGAUGCAGCGACGCCGCGUGAACGAAGAAGGUAUUCGUAUCGUAAAGUUCUGUCCUAUGGGAAGAUAAUGACAGUACCAUAGAAGAAAGCUCCGGCUAAAUACGUGCCAGCAGCCGCGGUAAUACGUAUGGAGCGAGCGUUGUCCGGAAUUAUUGGGCGUAAAGGGUACGCAGGCGGUUUAAUAAGUCGAAUGUUAAAGAUCGGGGCUCAACCCCGUAAAGCAUUGGAAACUGAUAAACUUGAGUAGUGGAGAGGAAAGUGGAAUUCCUAGUGUAGUGGUGGAAUACGUAGAUAUUAGGAGGAAUACCAGUAGCGAAGGCGACUUUCUGGACACAAACUGACGCUGAGGUACGAAAGCGUGGGGAGCAAACAGG